rnacentral:rRNA from 1 species
UCAUUAGCUAGUUGCCGGGUAACGGCCCACCAAGGGGACGAUGAUUAGGGGUUUGAGAGGAUGACCCCCCACACUGGUACUGAGACACGGACCAGAUUCCUACGGGAGGCAGCAGUAAGGAAUAUUGGUCAAUGGAGGGAACUCUGAACCAGCCAUGCCGCGUGCAGGAAGACAGCCCUCUGGGUCGUAAACUGCUUUUAUUCGGGAAUAAACCUACUUACGUGUAAGUAGCUGAAUGUACCGAAGGAAUAAGGAUCGGCUAACUCCGUGCCAGCAGCCGCGGUAAUACGGAGGAUCCAAGCGUUAUCCGGAUUUAUUGGGUUUAAAGGGUGCGUAGGCGGCUUAUUAAGUCAGGGGUGAAAGACGGUGGCUCAACCAUCGCAGUGCCCUUGAUACUGAUGAGCUUGAAUACACUAGAGGUAGGCGGAAUGUGACAAGUAGCGGUGAAAUGCAUAGAUAUGUCACAGAACACCGAUUGCGAAGGCAGCUUACUAUGGUGUUAUUGACGCUGAGGCACGAAAGCGUGGGGAUCAAACAGGAUUAGAUACCCUGGUAGUCCACGCCCUAAACGAUGAAUACUCGCUGUUAGCGAUAUACAGUUAGCGGCUAAGCGAAAGCGUUAAGUAUUCCACCUGGGGAGUACGCCCGCAAGGGUGAAACUCAAAGGAAUUGACGGGGGCCCGCACAAGCGGAGGAGCAUGUGGUUUAAUUCGAUGAUACGCGAGGAACCUUACCCGGGCUUGAAAGUUAGUGAAUGAUCUAGAGAUAGAUCAGUGAGCAAUCACACGAAACUAGGUGCUGCAUGGCUGUCGUCAGCUCGUGCCGUGAGGUGUUGGGUUAAGUCCCGCAACGAGCGCAACCCCUAUGUUUAGUUGCCAGCACGUUAAGGUGGGGACUCUAAACAGACUGCCUGUGCAAACAGAGAGGAAGGAGGGGACGACGUCAAGUCAUCAUGGCCCUUACGUCCGGGGCUACACACGUGCUACAAUGGAUGGUACAGAGGGCAGCAAGCUGGCAACAGCAAGC